rnacentral:rRNA from 1 species
AGGGGAAUAUUGCACAAUGGGGGAAACCCUGAUGCAGCGACGCCGCGUGAACGAAGAAGGUAUUCGUAUCGUAAAGUUCUGUCCUAUGGGAAGAUAAUGACAGUACCAUAGAAGAAAGCUCCGGCUAAAUACGUGCCAGCAGCCGCGGUAAUACGUAUGGAGCGAGCGUUGUCCGGAAGUAUUGGGCGUAAAGGGUACGCAGGCGGUUUAAUAAGUCGAAUGUUAAAGAUCGGGGCUCAACCCCGCAAAGCAUUGGAAACUGAUAGACUUGAGUAGUGGAGAGGAAAGUGGAAUUCCUUGUGUAGUGGUGAAAUACGUAGAUAUUAGGGGGAAUACCAGUAGCGAAGGCGACUUUCUGGACAGAAACUGACGCUGAGGUACGAAAGCGUGGGGAGCAAACAGG